GACGAACGCUGGCGGCGUGCUUAACACAUGCAAGUCGAACGGAAAGGCCCUGCUUUUGUGGGGUGCUCGAGUGGCGAACGGGUGAGUAACACGUGAGUAACCUGCCCUUGACUUUGGGAUAACUUCAGGAAAAUGGGGCUAAUACCGGAUAGGAGCUCCUGCUGCAUGGUGGGGGUUGGAAAGUUUCGGCGGUCGGGGAUGGACUCGCGGCUUAUCAGCUUGUUGGUGGGGUAGUGGCUUACCAAGGCUUUGACGGGUAGCCGGCCUGAGAGGGUGACCGGCCACAUUGGGACUGAGAUACGGCCCAGUCUCCUACGGGAGGCAGCAGUGGGGAAUAUUGCACAAUGGGCGGAAGCCUGAUGCAGCAACGCCGCGUGCGGGAUGACGGCCUUCGGGUUGUAAACCGCUUUCGCCUGUGACGAAGCGUGAGUGACGGUAAUGGGUAAAGAAGCACCAGCUAACUACGUG
rnacentral:rRNA from 1 species